rnacentral:rRNA from 1 species
GACGUAGGGCGCGAGCGUUGUCCGGAAUCAUUGGGCGUAAAGCGCGUGUAGGCGGCCAGGGAGGUCCGUUGUGAAAACUCGAGGCUCAACCUCGAGACGCCGAUGGAAACCCCCUGGCUAGAGUCCGGAAGAGGAGAAUGGAAUUCCUGGUGUAGCGGUGAAAUGCGCAGAUAUCAGGAAGAACACCCGUGGCUAAGGCGGUUCUCUGGGACGGUACUGACGCUGAGACGCGAAAGCGUGGGGAGCGAACAGG